rnacentral:tRNA from 1 species
GCGCCAGUGGCGGAAUUGGCAGACGCGCAGGAUUUAGGUUCCUGUGCCCUCGGGCGUGCGGGUUCAAGUCCCGCCUGGCGCACCA